CAGCCGCCACGGGAAUACGAAGGGGGCUAGCGUUGCUCGGAAUGACUGGGCGUAAAGGGCGCGUAGGCGGUUCGUACAGUUGGAUGUGAAAUUCCUGGGCUUAACCUGGGGGCUGCAUUCAAUACGUGCGGGCUUGUGUGUGGAAGAGGGUUGUGGAAUUCCCAGUGUAGAGGUGAAAUUCGUAGAUAUUGGGAAGAACACCGGUGGCGAAGGCGGCGACCUGGUCCUUGACUGACGCUGAGGCGCGAAAGCGUGGGGAGCAAACAGGAUUAGAUACCCCAGUAGUCCCUGUCUCUUAUAC
rnacentral:rRNA from 1 species